AUUGAACGCUGGCGGCAGGCUUAACACAUGCAAGUCGAGCGGGGGAAGGUAGCUUGCUACCUAACCUAGCGGCGGACGGGUGAGUAAUGCUUAGGAAUCUGCCUAUUAGUGGGGGACAACAUUUCGAAAGGGAUGCUAAUACCGCAUACGCCCUAAGGGGGAAAGCAGGGGAUCUUCGGACCUUGCGCUAAUAGAUGAGCCCAAGUCGGAUUAGCUAGUUGGUGGGGUAAAGGCCUACCAAGGCGACGAUCUGUAGCGGGUCUGAGAGGAUGAUCCGCCACACUGGGACUGAGACACGGCCCAGACUCCUACGGGAGGCAGCAGUGGGGAAUAUUGGACAAUGGGGGGAACCCUGAUCCAGCCAUGCCGCGUGUGUGAAGAAGGCCUUUUGGUUGUAAAGCACUUUAAGCGAGGAGGAGGCUACCGAGAUUAAUACUCUUGGAUAGUGGACGUUACUCGCAGAAUAAGCACCGGCUAACUCUGUGCCAGCCGCCGCGGUAAAAC
rnacentral:rRNA from 1 species